UACGUAGGUGGCAAGCGUUGUCCGGAAUUAUUGGGCGUAAAGCGCGCGCAGGCGGUCCUUUAAGUCUGAUGUGAAAGCCCACGGCUCAACCGUGGAGGGUCAUUGGAAACUGGGGGAACUUGAGUGCAGAAGAGAAAAGCGGAAUUCCACGUGUAGCGGUGAAAUGCGUAGAGAUGUGGAGGAACACCAGUGGCGAAGGCGGCUUUUUGGUCUGUAACUGACGCUGAGGCGCGAAAGCGUGGGGAGCAAACAGG
rnacentral:rRNA from 1 species